rnacentral:rRNA from 1 species
CCUACGGGUAGCUGCAGUGGGGAAUAUUGCACAAUGGGGGGAACCCUGAUGCAGCGACGCCGCGUGGGUGAAGGAGUAUUUCGGUAUGUAAAGCCCUAUCAGCAGGGAAGAACAAUGACGGUACCUGACUAAGAAGCACCGGCUAAAUACGUGCCAGCAGCCGCGGUAAUACGUAUGGUGCAAGCGUUAUCCGGAUUUACUGGGUGUAAAGGGAGCGCAGGCGGCGCGUUAAGCCUGGUGUGAAAGCCCGCGGCCCAACCGCGGGACUGCAUUGGGAACUGGCGCGCUGGAGUGCCGGAGGGGUAGGCGGAAUUCCUAGUGUAGCGGUGAAAUGCGUAGAUAUUAGGAGGAACACCAGUGGCGAAGGCAGCAUACCGGCGGCGAUCUGACGCUGAGGCACGAAAGCGUGGGUAUCGAACAGGAUUAGAUACCCCAGUAGUC